AGUGAACGCUGGCGGCGUGCCUAACACAUGCAAGUCGAACGAUGAUUGAGAGCUUGCUCUCAUGAUUAGUGGCGCACGGGUGAGUAUACCAUAGAUAAUGUACCUCUUAGUUCGGGAUAGCCACUGGAAACGGUGAUUAAUACCGGAUACUCCUUCUUGUCUUAAGGCAAGUCGGGAAAGUUUUUUCGCUAAGAGAUCAGUCUAUGUCCUAUCAGCUAGUUGGUGAGGUAAUGGCUCACCAAGGCUAUGACGGGUAUCUGGUUUGAGAGGAUGAUCAGACACACUGGAACUGAGACACGGUCCAGACUCCUACGGGAGGCAGCAGUGAGGAAUAUUGCACAAUGGAGGAAACUCUGAUGCAGCAACGCCGCGUGGAGGAUGACGCAUUUCGGUGUGUAAACUCCUUUUAAGAGGGAAGAUAAUGACGGUACCUCUUGAAUAAGCACCGGCUAACUCCGUGCCAGCAGCCGCAGUAA
rnacentral:rRNA from 1 species